UGAUGCCAGACUGGCUCUGAAUUCAGAAUGGGUUGCAGGUGUUUGUUUGCUCGGUGUAAGAAUUUGACAGGUUUGCACUGGUUCCCCCGAGAUACUGACAGAGCUAGAUUGUGGCUGCAGGCGGUGGGUUGGCCAUCAGCUCCUGACACAUCAAGAAUGUUUGUGUGUAACAAACUUGUUUCGUGGGAGCGCUUUUACAGACAUCAGGACGUUGGCAUUGCUCAUGGAGGUAAUCUCCGACGAGAAGACGCUGAACGAAGUCCCAAGUAUUUUUCCAUCCCUACAGGGCAGCCAUUUCACUUGAGCUGCUGGCUGGAAAUAUUGGAGUUUUGCCCAGUGACCGCAACUGAAGGAGGAAGUCUAAAUAUGGUCAUUGGUGAAAUGUAUUUAUCGUGACAUCACAAAACAAGCAGCAGUCACGCUUCCGGGUUCUUCACGCAGUCAGAUUAGAAAUGGCUAUUCGGAGCACAUGCAAUUAUAAUCAAAAUUAUAUGUUAUGUUAUGUUAAGCCUAUAAUUGUAAAAAUUUAUGUUAAAUAAAGGUUAUUAGAACACCUAUGUUUUAUAGUGAGGAAAUGCACAAUUGUUUUUAAACUCCAAAAAAUAUUUAGCUGGAAAUGUAGCAGAUUGUUAAUUAAUUCUGGUGAUGUUAACAUCUCAAAUAACAUUAAUUGUGAAUUUAUGAAUGUUUACAAAUUUUUAAAAAUUGGUAUAUCUUAAAAAGUCAAAUAAUCUUGUUGUGUUCAGAAUUUUAAUUAUUAUCGGCUGACAUAUCUUGAUGAGGCCUUAAUAAAGCUUUUGUAGUUUUGAUCUGUCAGCUCACCCAUUAUAUUUAUGAAUGUACAUAUAAUAUUUUAACAUAUAAUUUAUUUCUAAAUUAACUUUAAUAUUAUGUUAUACACAAUCUUUUUCAACAUUUGAAUUUGAAAGACUUACCAACAGAAUGAGUUGCUAACAAGCAGCUUUUCUGCUUUUUUUUUUUUUUUUACUUUUCUGUACUGAGAAGCAACAGAAGUUCCUUGAUUUUGAAUGUACUGUGUUCCUUCUUUAUGUUUCCGCUAUAAAUGUAGCUUGUCUGGUGUUUUCUCAUGUUUAUAUCUUAAUUGUUAACAUCAAUUAAUCCAAUCUUUUUGGAAAACCUGUAUAACAAAUAAGCAUAUUUUCAAUAAAACAGAGAUAUUUAACUUAGUUGUGUUUUGUUAAGGGGUGGGCUUAGGUAGGAACCUUCUAUACAGUGGCAGUCGUGGCUUAAUGGAUAGAAAGUCGGACUUGUAACUCAUAGGUUGCGGGAUCGAGUCUCAGGUCUGGCAGGGAUUGUACUGUAGGUGGUGGGAGUAAAUGUAUAGCGCUCUCUUCUACCUUCAAUACCACCUUUAACAAGACCCUGAACCCCCAGCUGUUCCCUGGAUGCCGCAGCAAAAUGGCUUCCCACUGCUCUGGGGGUGUGUGUGUGUUUACUACUGUGUGUACACGCCAGGUUCCACCUCCCUCCAAUCACAGCGCACGCCCUCACCUGAGUACUGAUCACUUCCACCUGACCCUCAUCAACAUUCAAUCAACUCUGCAUCACAAAUACCACACACACACGCGAUCUCCAGAAGUUCCCAGUCAUCUCCAUGCGUGUGUGUGGUACACCUCCCUCCUUCGACAUCUCUACCCCUCUAGUACGGAUCCAUUCAUCACAGCCUUCCCCUACAUCACUUUACCCAGCACUACCCGCUCCUCUGCUUGUGCCUGAAUAAAACUGUCUUUCUGUUAUCCUCAGCCUCCGGUAGUAUUCCGUAACAGAAGACAGGACCAACACCGAUCGGCACAAGCAUGAGCCUCACGGACCCCUUCCAAAACCUGGUCCACUCUACCCGCAUCCCCGGCACCUGCGAGCACUUCCGCCAACAACUCCAGCACUUCCUCACCUGCCGUGCUCGCCAGUCCCAUGGCCAAGCCGAUGCCCUAUUCUGGUUCGGCGGAGUAUUGCAGCGGAUUUCUACUUCAAUGCUCGCUGGUCCUGGAGAUGCAACCGCACUUAUACCCAACCGAAAUAUCCAAGAUAGCCUUCUUGAUAUCCCAACUGCAAGGUAAAGCACAUCAGUGGGCCGAUUCAAUUUGGACUCAGUUAUCCAGUCUUAUUCCAGCUUCAUCGACCAUUUCCGAGAAGUUUUUGGCAGACCAGCUUGGGACUCAUCUAUCGGUGAGAAGAUUCAUAACCUUAAACAGGGAAAAAUGUCUGUCACUGAAUAUGCUCUUCAGUUCAGGACUCUAGCGGCCAUCAGUGGAUGGAACGAACAGGCCUUGCUGACUACAUAUCAGUAGUCAGCAAGUAGUAUGUCAGUAGUAUGUCAGGGAUUGGAACCUCGAGUGCAGUUGCAUCUCACUGCAUACGAGGAUACCAUCAGGCUUGAACGGUUCAUUCUACUCUCCAUCCACUUCACCACCUGUAUGCAUGCCUAGAAGAGCACCAGGGCCAGGCAUACUCCAACUCCCCACUCUGCCGACCAGAGGCCGUCAGCUCCCCAGAACCAGCCAACGAACCUAUGCUAGUCAACUCCUAUCGAUUCACUGCGGCUGAAAGACAAAGACGGCUGGCCCAGAAUCUAUGCCCCAUUGUGCAUCCCCGGAGCAUAUCAUCUCUGUAUGCCCUGUCGUCCCAUGGUGAGUGCCAUUCUUCCUUCGAAGUAUCAAAUGAAACCACUCAGCACUGUUGUGACACUUACUGCCGCUGACAUCUCUUCCAGUGUCCGCCCUCCUCGAUUAUGGGUCAGCCGGCAACUUCAUCUCCGGCGCCCUCUGCCGUCAAUUCAAACUCGCUACCACGGCAACACCGUCAGCCUACCAGGUCCACACAAUUACUGGAAGGCCUUUGAGUAGAAGAUGUGUGUGUCACAGUGUGGGUCCUAUUAUCCUCCAAACCGGAAUACUCCAUCAAGAGGAUUUGCCAAUUUCUACAGACAUUUCAUCCAAAAUUACAGUGCCAUCACCAACCCUCUCACUAGCCUACUCUGGAAUAAACCCAAAUCACUCUCCUGGACUCUAGCCGCCACAGAGGCCUUCAACUCCCUCAAGAAGGCAUUUACGACCGCUCCACUCCUGGUCCAUCCUGACUCCAAUUGACCCUUCAUCGUGGAAGUCGAUACCUAUUGGUUUUUAUAGUUCUUUUGCACUUUAAUGUGUAAAACAUUUAACUUUUAUAUAUUUUUCUGUAUUGCUUUGUUUUAAAUGUUUAGUUAUUUUUGUUGUAAGAAAAAGUUAUUUAACCUGUUAUACUGUAUUAUGACCAAUUUUUUUAAAACAAAAUUGUCUAUACCGUGAUAAUACCAUAUACCGUGAUAAAAGCAUAAUCAAUUAACCACAACAGGAAAAUUAGAUACCGGCAUAUCCCUAGCUGAGACUACUCUUACACAGUCUUUCAUGAUCACAUAAAUCCAUUAUUUUCUUAAGUAAUCUGCAUUACAAAAAUAUUAAAUGAUUAAAGAUAAACAGACAAAAAUUAUGAUUGAAAAUGAACAGCAAUGAGAUAUUUAGCAUAUCUCACUUUUUUACCCGAGACUGGAAAGACCGGUAAAACCAGCAAAACAUUCCAAACACUAGCUCAAGUCACUUCUUUAAUUUGUAGUUGAAAGUCUGUAACACUCAACAACAAGCUCAUACCCAAAGUGCGGGGAUUCAUUUACUGACAGAAUGAAAUCUCUUAUGUGUCUUUUGUCAUAUUUGACAGCUGUUAAAGCAGGUAAGUCAGUUUACAGCUAUUCUUGUGAUCAUGAUGUGCACAUGUGCCCUUUGACUAUUCUACGCAUGAGAGGGGGUAUCUUGGGUACUUAUUAAUUUUCCUGUCUCUGGCUAGAUUACAGUAUAUAAACUUAAUGGUUCAUAUUACAUGAGUAAAUCAAAUUAAAGUUUCAGAAAUAUCUUAAUUUGAUAAUAAUUUCAGUAAUAUCUUUAUUUGAUAAUAGCUUAGUUUGUUUCAAUGUUAAGUAUGUAUUUAAUCUCAUUAUGGUCCGUUUAUAGACAAAAUGCCAAAAGAGUGUUAUUUUUUUAUCCAACAAAAAGGGGAACUAAAAAGGAGAACUUAAUGUUUUACAGUUU